UACGUAGGGGGCAAGCGUUAUCCAGAUUUACUGGGCGUAAAGCGCGUGUAGGCGGCUGGUUAGGCGUGAUGUGAAAUCUUCCGGCUCAACCGGAAAACUGCAUUGCGAACCGGCCUGGCUAGAGUGCAGGAGAGGGAAGCGGAAUUCCAGGUGUAGCGGUGAAAUGCGUAGAUAUCUGGAGGAACACCUGCGGCGAAGGCGGCUUCCUGGACUGCAACUGACGCUGAGGCGCGAAAGCUAGGGGAGCAAACAGG
rnacentral:rRNA from 1 species